GAUGAACGCUGGCGGCGUGCCUAAUACAUGCAAGUCGAGCGAACGGACGAGAGGCUUGCUUUUCUGAUGUUAGCGGCGGACGGGUGAGUAACACGUGGAUAACCUACCUAUAAGACUGGGAUAACUUCGGGAAACCGGAGCUAAUACCGGAUAAUAUUUUGAACCGCAUGGUUCAAAAGUGAAAGACGGUCUUGCUGUCACUUAUAGAUGGAUCCGCGCUGCAUUAGCUAGUUGGUAAGGUAACGGCUUACCAAGGCAACGAUGCAUAGCCGACCUGAGAGGGUGAUCGGCCACACUGGAACUGAGACACGGUCCAGACUCCUACGGGAGGCAGCAGUAGGGAAUCUUCCGCAAUGGGCGAAAGCCUGACGGAGCAACGCCGCGUGAGUGAUGAAGGUCUUCGGAUCGUAAAACUCUGUUAUUAGGGAAGAACAUAUGUGUAAGUAACUGUGCACAUCUUGACGGUACCUAAUCAGAAAGCCACGGCUAACUACGUGCCAGCAGCCGCGGUAAUACGUAGGUGGCAAGCGUUAUCCGGAAUUAUUGGGCGUAAAGCGCGCGUAGGCGGUUUUUUAAGUCUGAUGUGAAAGCCCACGGCUCAACCGUGGAGGGUCAUUGGAAACUGGAAAACUUGAGUGCAGAAGAGGAAAGUGGAAUUCCAUGUGUAGCGGUGAAAUGCGCAGAGAUAUGGAGGAACACCAGUGGCGAAGGCGACUUUCUGGUCUGUAACUGACGCUGAUGUGCGAAAGCGUGGGGAUCAAACAGGAUUAGAUACCCUGGUAGUCCACGCCGUAAACGAUGAGUGCUAAGUGUUAGGGGGUUUCCGCCCCUUAGUGCUGCAGCUAACGCAUUAAGCACUCCGCCUGGGGAGUACGACCGCAAGGUUGAAACUCAAAGGAAUUGACGGGGACCCGCACAAGCGGUGGAGCAUGUGGUUUAAUUCGAAGCAACGCGAAGAACCUUACCAAAUCUUGACAUCCUUUGACAACUCUAGAGAUAGAGCCUUCCCCUUCGGGGGACAAAGUGACAGGUGGUGCAUGGUUGUCGUCAGCUCGUGUCGUGAGAUGUUGGGUUAAGUCCCGCAACGAGCGCAACCCUUAAGCUUAGUUGCCAUCAUUAAGUUGGGCACUCUAAGUUGACUGCCGGUGACAAACCGGAGGAAGGUGGGGAUGACGUCAAAUCAUCAUGCCCCUUAUGAUUUGGGCUACACACGUGCUACAAUGGACAAUACAAAGGGCAGCGAAACCGCGAGGUCAAGCAAAUCCCAUAAAGUUGUUCUCAGUUCGGAUUGUAGUCUGCAACUCGACUACAUGAAGCUGGAAUCGCUAGUAAUCGUAGAUCAGCAUGCUACGGUGAAUACGUUCCCGGGUCU
rnacentral:rRNA from 1 species